rnacentral:rRNA from 1 species
UACGGAGGGUGCAAGCGUUAUCCGGAAUCACUGGGUUUAAAGGGUGCGUAGGCGGUCUUGUAAGUCAGUCGUGAAAUCGCUGGGCUCAACCUAUGCAAUUGCGAUUGAUACUGCGAGACUUGAAUGGGGUUAAGGCAGGCGGAAUGUGGCAUGUAGCGGUGAAAUGCAUAGAUAUGCCAUAGAACACCGAUUGCGAAGGCAGCCUGCUGGGCCUUUAUUGACGCUGAGGCACGAAAGCGUGGGGAGCAAACAGG